UGCAAGUCGAGCGGGGCUUUGAGGCUUCGGCCUCAAAGCCUAGCGGCGGACGGGUGAGUAACACGUGGAUAACCUGCCCUUUGCUCUGGGAUAACAGGCCGAAAGGCCUGCUAAUACCGGAUAAGCUCACGGCCUCGCAUGGGGCUGGGAGAAAAGGCGCUAGAGCGAUUGGCGCUGGCAGAGGAGGGGUCCGCGGCCCAUUAGCUAGUUGGUGAGGUAACGGCUCACCAAGGCGACGAUGGGUAGCCGGCCUGAGAGGGCGACCGGCCACACUGGGACUGAGACACGGCCCAGACUCCUACGGGAGGCAGCAGUCGGGAAUUUUGCACAAUGGCCGAAAGGCUGAUGCAGCAACGCCGCGUGAGCGAGGAAGGCCUUCGGGUUGUAAAGCUCUGUUGCCUGCGAAGAAGGGCCCUGUCAGGAAAUGGGCAGGGUUUGACGGUAGCAGGCGAGGAAGCCCCGGCUAACUACGUGCCAGCAGCCGCGGUAAUACGUAGGGGGCGAGCGUUGUCCGGAAUUACUGGGCGUAAAGGGCGUGUAGGCGGCCUGUUAAGUCAGGGGUGAAACUCCGGGGCUCAACCCCGGGCGUGCCUCUGAAACUGAUGGGCUUGAGUGCUCUAGAGGGCAGUGGAAUUCCCCGGUGUAGCAGUGAAAUGCGUAGAGAUCGGGAGGAACACCAGUGGCGAAGGCGGCUGCCUGGGGAGUAACUGACGCUGAGGCGCGAAAGCUAGGGGAGCAAACAGGAUUAGAUACCCUGGUAGUCCUAGCCGUAAACGAUGAGUGCUAUGUGUGAGGGGUAUCGACCCCCCUCGUGCAGUAGUUAACGCAAUAAGCACUCCGCCUGGGGAGUACGGCCGCAAGGCUGAAACUCAAAGGAAUUGACGGGGGCCCGCACAAGCAGCGGAGCAUGUGGUUUAAUUCGAAGCAACGCGUAGAACCUUACCAGGGCUUGACAUCCGCCGAAUCCUGCAGAAAUGCGGGAGUGCUCCUUCGGGAGAACGGCGAGACAGGUGGUGCAUGGUUGUCGUCAGCUCGUGUCGUGAGAUGUUGGGUUAAGUCCCGCAACGAGCGCAACCCCUGUCGCAUGUUGCCAGCACGUAAAGGUGGGGACUCAUGCGAGACUGCCGGUGACAAACCGGAGGAAGGUGGGGAUGACGUCAAAUCAUCAUGCCCCUUAUGUCCUGGGCUACACACGUGCUACAAUGGCCGUCACAGAGCGCCCCGAACCCGCGAGGGGGAGGCAAUCGCUGAAAGGCGGUCUCAGUUCGGAUCGCAGGCUGCAACUCGCCUGCGUGAAGUCGGAGUUGCUAGUAAUCGCGGAUCAGCAUGCCGCGGUGAAUGCGUUCCCGGGCCUUGUACACACCGCCCGUCACACCAUGGGAGCUGGCAACACCCGAAGUCGGUGAGCUAACCCCGCAAGGGGAGGCAGCCGCCGAAGG
rnacentral:rRNA from 1 species